UCAAUAUCAAUGAUGAUCCCAUAUGUUAUCCUUGCUCUUUGAUCCCCAUUGAAGACACUUAUGGGGAAUUUUCUUUUCUGAGAUGAUG